GGGAAACUGCCCGAUGGAGGGGGAUAACUACUGGAAACGGUAGCUAAUACCGCAUAACGUCGCAAGACCAAAGUGGGGGACCUUCGGGCCUCACACCAUCGGAUGUGCCCAGAUGGGAUUAGCUAGUAGGUGGGGUAAUGGCUCACCUAGGCGACGAUCCCUAGCUGGUCUGAGAGGAUGACCAGCCACACUGGAAUUGAGACACGGUCCAGACUCCUACGGGAGGCAGCAGUGGGGAAUAUUGCACAAUGGGCGCAAGCCUGAUGCAGCCAUGCCGCGUGUAUGAAGAAGGCCUUCGGGUUGUAAAGUACUUUCAGCGGGGAGGAAGGCGGUGAAGUUAAUAGCUUCACCGAUUGACGUUACCCGCAGAAGAAGCACCGGCUAACUCCGUGCCAGCAGCCGCGGUAAUACGGAGGGUGCAAGCGUUAAUCGGAAUUACUGGGCGUAAAGCGCACGCAGGCGGUCUGUCAAGUCGGAUGUGAAAUCCCCGGGCUUAACCUGGGAACUGCAUUCGAAACUGGCAGGCUAGAGUCUUGUAGAGGGGGGUAGAAUUCCAGGU
rnacentral:rRNA from 1 species